rnacentral:rRNA from 1 species
CAAGUCCAAAAGGCGGGGUAGGAGCCAGGCUGGCAAAUCCGCCUGGCGAUCUGAAGACGUGAUGCGGACCGAAGCAUAAGUAGGGAAGCAUGUGAGCCAUGUAUCAAGAAAAGCCGCUAUUGUUCUUGCUGUACCCGUACCGUAAACCGACACAGGUGGAUGAGGAGAGAAUCCUAAGGCCGGCGGAAGAAGCAUUGUUAAGGAACUCGGCAAAAUGACCCCGUAACUUCGGGAGAAGGGGUGCCAUCGGAAGGUGGCCGCAGAGAAUAGGCUCAAGCAACUGUUUAGCAAAAACACAGGUCUAUGCGAAACCGAAAGGUGAUGUAUAUGGGCUGACGCCUGCCCGGUGCUGGAAGGUUAAGAGGAGAGGUUAGCGCAAGCGAAGCUUUGAAUUUAAGCCCCAGUAAACGGCGGCCGUAACUAUAACGGUCCUAAGGUAGCGAAAUUCCUUGUCGGGUAAGUUCCGACCCGCACGAAAGGCGUAAUGAUUUGAGCGCUGUCUCGACAAUGCAUCCGGUGAAAUUGAAGUACCAGUGAAGAUGCUGGUUACCCGCGCCAGGACGGAAAGACCCCAUGGAGCUUUACUCCAGUUUGGUACUGGGAUUCGGCAGUGCAUGUACAGGAUAGGUGGGAGGCUUUGAAGCAGGGACGCCAGUUUCUGCGGAGCCGCUGUUGGGAUACCACCCUUGUGCUGCUGGGUUUCUAACCGGAGGCCGUGAACCGGCCACGGGACAAUGCCAGACGGGGAGUUUGACUGGGGCGGUCGCCUCCGAAAGGGUAUCGGAGGCGCUCAAAGGUUCCCUCAGAAUGGUUGGAAACCAUUCGAAGAGCGCAAAGGCAGAAGGGGGCUUGACUGCGACACCGACGGGUGGAGCAGGUACGAAAGUAGGACUUAGUGAUCCGGUGGUAUAAAGUGGGAUUGCCAUCGCUCAACGGAUAAAAGCUACCCUGGGAUAACAGGCUUAUCACUCCCAAGAGUUCACAUCGACGGAGUGGUUUGGCACCUCGAUGUCGGCUCAUCGCAUCCUGGGGCUGUAGUAGGUCCCAAGGGUUGGGCUGUUCGCCCAUUAAAGCGGUACGCGAGCUGGGUUCAGAACGUCGUGAGACAGUUCGGUCCCUAUCCGGCGUGGGCGCAGGAUAUCUGAGAGGAGCUGUCCUUAGUACGAGAGGACCGGGAUGGACGGGCCGCUGGUGUACCUGUUGGUUUGCCAAAGCCAUGGCAGGGUAGCCAAGCCUGGAAGGGAUAAACGCUGAAGGCAUCUAAGCGUGAAGCCCCCCUCAAGAUGAGAUAUCCCAUUCUUUAGAGAAGUAAGACCCCUUGAAGACGACGAGGUAGAUAGGGCAGGGGUGGAAGUGCAGCAAUGCAUGGAGCUGACUGUUACUAAUCGGUCGAGGGCUUGACCU